UUAGAAGAAGGGUGAAACUCAGCUGCUUUCUUUUUGACUUUCCACUUGGAAAUGGUUUUCCACUCAAAGUUUUAGAAGUUUCUGGUGUGUAUGCAGCCUGAAAAGUCAGGCUGGGGCUGCGACACACAUUUGUCUUUGCAUUUCAGUAUCCACGCUCUCAUGACAUUUUCACUGGUGCCAGUUUUGCAGGAGGUAAUCCCCAUCCUUCUCCCCCAGAAUCCCAAAUUUGGCUUAAAAUUCAGGAAACUGGGAGCAUUCUCCUCUCAGCCAGGCUGUUUAUUUGCUGUCUGGAGUCUUAUUGAAGCUCUGAGAGUUGCAUUUUGCAAGCUGUCUUCCUCCUGAAAGCGAGCAAGCUGCGCCUCUUCCUUAAUCAUCUGCUUUUGUUUGCUUGAAGGAAAAUACCAAAUAUCUCAUGACUCGCCAUAAAGCCGUGAAUGACUGCAAGGAUGCGCAAUUGCUGGGUGUCCUCAUGACUAAUGGAGCAGAUCAGCGGUUUUACUGGUCACCGGAUGAUUUGGGCAGGUCAGCCGCGGGGAGCGAGCAACCCCCCGAUUUCCAGAGCCUGCCUUAUAUCCUCCUGGGGAAGGUCUCAUCAGCGGCUGAGAAAUCGCUCCAAAAUACUCAUCCUGGGGUCUUCCUGAGGCAGAAACUCAUCUCCUGAUCUAACUGAAAGAGUGGUUCUCCACUGCUGUCGUCUCACCAGAACGCGGCUCCCGCACAGCAGCAGCGCUGGGACAGCCGGGCUGAUGGAGCAGCUGGAAGGGGUAAAACCGAGCUCACCGAUGCCGUCAGGAGGUUUUGCUCCAGCUUUGUGCUCUUUCCUUGCUCCCAAGUCCUUACCAUGUUGUUUUCCAGAGAAAAGCGGUGAGAAAUAAAUUCCUCUAUAAUCACA